ACACUCCCUUGAGGGAAAAGGGUCAGGCUUUAAGAUCGUGGUGUAAAAGCCCACCCCUAACUUGCCUUCCCCCACGAUGCACGGGCCGCGCCCCCGCCCGCGGCCGGCCGCCCACGACGCACUCACUCACCCGUUCCUGUAUCUGGACCCCGCGUCAGCAGCAUCUGCGCGACAGUUUGUCUGCACCCUGGUGGGUAGAGGUAAUAAAGAUGCUGCCUCCGUAAAUUUGCCUUCAUGCUGGCGUAACACGGAAAGCCAGAGCCCCAGACGGCUCCGCCUCUGCCCGGCCUCCACUCCUGCACCUUCCAUUCCAGGCAGGGCCAGAGCUGACCGCAGGAACUGGUGAAGGCGAUGUUGGCCUCAGGCCUCUCGGGCCACAGCCCAAGGACACGGCCAGUCCAAGUCGGAGUCGGAUGGGGGAAGAGCGGGGGCCGCAUGCCCCCAGCUGUGGGCACCGCGUGCAUCCUGACGAGCCCGGCCUCGGCCCAGGACCGGGUCAGCCGGAGCUCAGCCUCCACCGCUCCUGGGUCUGUCCCCACCAGGACGAAGAAGGAAACCUCCUCCCCAUGUGCUGGCGCUCCUCUGGUGGAUGGUACACUUGGCCUUGAAACACCCAGGCUGGGAGCUUGCUGCCACCCACAGAACGGCAACUGCUCCCUUCCUGCUGGGCCCCAGGGCAGAGGGAUGGUGGCCCCCAUUUGCCCGCCCAGGGGACAGAGAAACACGUCUGCAGCCGAAGCCCGCCAGAACGCUCUGUGCGAACGCCUGGAGAAAAACUGACCAUUCAUCGAUCAAGCAGACACGGCGUCUCGAAGACCGCAGGGAGCAUCCUGUUCCAAGGGACUUUGGGGAAGGAACCGCAAAUGAGCAGAAAGCACAAAUUCUCCUUCCUUAUGGAAGCACUGGGUGCAGGGUUAGUGGGAGCAAUGGGCUGGUUGCACAGCCUGAAAAUGUCUCCCCCAGAUAUUUAUUAAUCACUUUUUUGGUUUUAACAUGUAACAUACGUUCCUUGAGACUCCUCCCCUGGGCAGGUGGGGUCCGAGGCCUGCGUGUGUGUGUGGCUGACUAGGACGCUGGCUUCUGAUGGACAAUGUGGGGGGGAUGGGGCAGACUCACCGUCACGGGGCGGUCAGCGUCGCAGCACCUGGCUGGAGUGACACCUGAGCCCCAGCUGCAGGUGACGCGAGGGCACCCCGCUGGGCGCUGUGCUCGCCAGAGUCCACGAGGGACGCAGGAAGCUCCACAGUGGACAGUUCUGCAGACGCCUGACCAGAGCCCCUCAAACACGUGGAGCUAAGAGGCGAGGAACGACAGGGAUCCCGGGGGGCCGGGGACAGGUGCCCCGCGGGAUCUGGGCACAGCAGAGCCUCAGCAGAAGGAAUCCUUGUGGAGGCAGCAGUUCUCCAGCACUAAGGGGCCCGUGGUCAUGAGGGAGCCUCUGAGGGGCACACGGGAACCCCCCAACUUUGCCACCCGCCUGGAAGGCUCACGUUAUUUCGGAACCAAAGGAGUCACAGAAUCUUUCCAGCAACACACGUUUAGGAAAAUGAUCUCUGUUCGAGGGGAGUUAGCUUGUUCUUGCUAAAUUGGGACCGUAACUUUGAAGUGAAACCCGCGGACUGAGACAGUUUACAAUGGAUCCAAGAGGACUUCAUAUUUCAAAGAGCCACAAGCCAUAAUUUGGCCAACUGUACCUGAAAAUAUUUCCUACUCCCUGGCAUUUCAUAACAAUGAGAUGAUUAUUCUUCACUGCUGAAAAAGCCUCGGGUCUUAAAGCAAUUUUUUUUUCUCUAAUAUCUGGAAUGUCCUUCCAGGAGCAAAAUGCCUCACUGGUCCUCCACGUUGCCACAGAGUCUUUAUAUCAAAGGGGUCUUUGUAUUUUGGCAAGACAUGGUUUUCUUCACUUCCCAUUCCCCGAAGAUGCACCAUCUCCCCCAGAUUUGACCCUCCUUGACCCUGCCCCCCCACUGGCAGUCUGCACUGCCCCCUGUCUGCGUGCCCAGCGCCUACCUGGAAGGGAGCCUCACUGAGCUGGCGGCUCAGAGACGCGUGGGGCCCUCGGGCUCAGCGCCCCCAACGCGGAGAGAACCUGCCGCGGCCAUGCCGGGCUUCCGGGCCUGUGCAUGGGGUCAGGGACAACGGCGGAACAGGGGUUCGGCUCAUGCUAUGAGCCCACAUGCCCCAGGACUUUCAGAAACUGUUCCUCCUUUAAUCAUACUUCCCUUAAAGGACCAGAACGUCCAGCAUUAUUCCCUCCAUUUCACAGAUGAAGAAACCCAGAUUUGGGGCCGGGGAUUUCCUGCAUGUCUGGGACCCCAAGACCUCACGACUUCACCCCCUUCCUGUGGGCCAAGGGUUUCCUUGUACCCCUCCCCAUCCUGGGCCCCCAGGCUCAGAGGGCAGCUCAGCCUAGACACUCCACGGGACCUGCAUAAAACGAAUGCCCCAUCUUUCCCUGGACCCUCUUCCCUGAGGCUCCUGGACUCCCAGAGCUAGAGGCCCCAGGCGUGCCAGACACCCCCCUCCUUCUCUUGCAUUAGCUCUGCCUGUGAGCUCAGCCUCCAAGCCUGCCUGUCCACCCUGCCCAUCCGCUCCACCACUUGGUCCAAACCCCACUCGUCCGGGUGUUGGCAGCAACCCCACUUGAACCCAGUACUCUCUUACCCCCCAUUAGGCCUCCACCAGCAUCCGAGUGCUCAGGGCCUUCCAGGGGCUCCUUGACCUGCUGAGGACACACCCCGGGAUCUCUGGCCUUUCCUCCAGACUUUCACAGACCUCCUUCUUCCCACAGUCCCUCCUUCCUGCCUCAGGACAUUUGCACGUGUGGUCCCCCCCAUACCCGUUCUUCCCCUGGACCUCUGCCCCCAGGUCUUACCUGGACAUCCUCUCCCGCUGACCCAUCACCUGCUCAUGCACUGUGUCUGUCUCCCACAAUGCCCUGCCCUGCCCCGACCUGCAGCAAGUAACUGUCUGGGUCCCUCACUGGGUUGCAUCCGGCCCCUCUAUGGCAUGCUCCGUGGGGGCAGCUCCGUGCUUCUCCCCAUACGCUCCAUCCUCAGCAUUUAGCACAAUGCCUGCACACAGUGGGUGCUUCACACAUUGGGUGAAAAUGGUGCAGCAGAGCUUGACUCUAAACCCGUGAUCUUCCAUUGCACCUGGAGGGGAAGAUUCAUUUGCCCCAGGCAGUCAGGGGGCUGCCCAGGAUUGCUGACCCACGACCUCAGGUUUGAAGGCUGAGUUUAUCUCCAUAGCUGGCAAGGGUAAGGAGCUGCUCUGGGGUGGACACUUGCAGAAUGUACCUGCCAGCUAGCCAGGGGAAGGUGGAGGGCCGGGACGAGGG